AUUUUUAGUAGAGACGGGGUUUAGCUGGGACUGCAGGUACAUGCCAUCAUGCCUGGCUAAUUUUUAAAUUUUUUGUAGAGAUGGGGUUUCUCCUCGUUGCCCAGGCUCGUCUCAAACCACUGCGCCCAGGCUAGUGAAGGAGUAUAAUGAGUUCGACGUUAGUGGAUAGGUAGACAGUCGGUAGAAAGCAAGAGGGCAGUCAUUCCCUAUGAAGGAGUGGUAUGAGGUUAUAAUGGUAUGGGCAAAAGGUCUAAAUUAUGACUCAAUGGUUGGGAAACAAGGAGGAAACUCUUACUGGGGUACAUAGUAGUAAGAGGAUGCUUAGAUAAAGGGAGGACCUUGAAUUCUAGGAAAGGGAUUUGCGAUUUUAU
rnacentral:sRNA from 1 species